AGCAGCCGCGGUAAUUCCAGCUCCAAUAGCGUAUAUUAAAGUUGUUGCAGUUAAAAAGCUCGUAGUUGAAUUUCGGGAUCAAUAUGUUGGUCGUGCCUUGGUACGUACUGGCAUUAUCGAUUCCUACCUUCUGAAGAACCUCGAUGUCAUUAAUUUGGUGUCUAGGGGAAUCAGGACUGUUACUUUGAAAAAAUUAGAGUGUUUAAAGCAGGCUCGCGCUUGAAUACAUUAGCAUGGAAUAAUGAAAUAGGACGUUUGAUUCUAUUUUGUUGGUUUCUAGGAUCGACGUAAUGAUUAAUAGGGAUAGUUGGGGGCAUUAGUAUUCAAUUGUCAGAGGUGAAAUUCUUGGAUUUAUUGAAGACUAACUACUGCGAAAGCAUUUGCCAAGGAUGUUUUCAUUAAUCAAGAACGAAAGUUAGGGGAUCGAAGACGAUCAGAUACCGUCGUAGUCUUAACCAUAAACUAUGCCGA
rnacentral:rRNA from 1 species